rnacentral:rRNA from 1 species
CUACGGGGGGCAGCAGUGGGAAUAUUGGACAAUGGGGGAAACCCUGAUCCAGCAAUGCCGCGUGUGUGAAGAAGGCCUGCGGGUUGUAAAGCACUUUCGGUUGGGAGGACUGCUUCUAGCACUAAUAUUGUUGGAAGUUGACGUUACCUUCAGAAGAAGCACCGGCUAACUCCGUGCCAGCAGCCGCGGUAAUACGGAGGGUGCAAGCGGUAAUCGGAAUUACUGGGCGUAAAGCGCGCGUAGGCGGCUAGAUCAGUCGGGUGUGAAAGCCCCGGGCUUAACCUGGGAACUGCAUCCGAUACUGUCUAGCUUGAGUACAGGAGAGGAGAGUGGAAUUCCACAUGUAGCGGUGAGAUGCGUAGAUAUGUGGAGGAACACCAAUGGCGAAGGCAGCUCUCUGGCCUGAUACUGGCGCUGAGGUGCGAAAGCGUGGGGAGCAAACAGGAUUAGAUACCCUUGUAGUC